rnacentral:rRNA from 1 species
AACGAACGCUGGCGGCGUGGAUAAGACAUGCAAGUCGAACGGGACUAAAUCUGUAGCAAUACAGGUUUAGUUUAGUGGCGAACGGGUGCGUAACACGUGGGCAAUCUGCCGAGAAGUGGGGGAUAGCUCGCCGAAAGGCGAAUUAAUACCGCAUAUGAUCAGCUAAGACAUCUUAGCGACAUCAAAGCCGGGGCAACCUGGCGCUUCUUGAUGAGCCCGCGGCCUACAGCUAGUUGGUGAGGUAACGGCUCACCAAGGCUAUGACGGGUAGCUGGUCUGAGAGGACGA